rnacentral:lncRNA from 1 species
UUUCAGGUGAUCUCAGUGGUGGGAGUCGUGACGGUGUGUGAGGCGCGAUAGUGAGUGAGCAAUAGAGAUUCCGACCAAUCAUCUUUUGGGUACGGUUAUUAUGUCUUGACCCUCCUCUUCAUGUUGGUUAAUAAACUAGAGUUUAUGUGGUUCAGUUAUUUGCUUGUUUGAUUGUCGGAUUUGGUGGUUUUUGAGUAUUAUGAAUACUUGUUGUUUCUCAAUAAUUCAAUGUGAUACUCGUGGUUUAUCUGAGAUAUGUGAUUAAUGGUUUUAUCGUACGUGAUUUUCUACCCCUUGUGGUAGCUGGCUUUUCAAAGAUUGAGUUUUCGUGUGGGAAAUAGCUUUAAAAGAUUUUUGAAUGGUUUUUAUAGACGAACAAUUGGAGUUUAAAAUCAAAGUUUUCAGGUAGGGAGCACUUGUAAAUAGGAUAAUUAUUGUAUUGUGCAUCACAUCAUCCAGCACCUAAUGAGUGAUUAGAGGCAUAUAUCAUCUUUAAGGAUGGCUAGCUGUAUGGAAUUGCAUGGCAUCAAUUGCUUGUGGAUUGGUGAAUAUAGGUUGUAUGUUGUGAUCCUAUUGAUGUUGUUGUUGGGUACGCCAUGCAAAUAUAAAAGAGACUAUCCAUGUGGGUAGAGAAACUUUGUAUUUGUGGCGGGUCUGUACGUCCCGUGGG